rnacentral:rRNA from 1 species
UAUCCUACGGGACGCAGCAGUGAGGAAUAUUGGUCAAUGGGCGAGAGCCUGAACCAGCCAAGUCGCGUGAAGGAUGACGGCCCUACGGGUUGUAAACUUCUUUUGUCAGGGAGCAAUUGGGUCCACGCGUGGGCUUAGCGAGAGUACCUGAAGAAAAAGCAUCGGCUAACUCCGUGCCAGCAGCCGCGGUAAUACGGAGGAUGCGAGCGUUAUCCGGAUUUAUUGGGUUUAAAGGGUGCGUAGGCGGUUUGAUAAGUUAGAGGUGAAAUGUCGGGGCUCAACCCCGAAACUGCCUCUAAUACUGU